rnacentral:rRNA from 1 species
GUAGGGAAUCUUGCGCAAUGGGCGAAAGCCUGACGCAGCCAUGCCGCGUGAAUGAUGAAGGUCUUAGGAUUGUAAAAUUCUUUCACCGGGGACGAUAAUGACGGUACCCGGAGAAGAAGCCCCGGCUAACUCCGUGCCAGCAGCCGCGGUAAUACGGAGGGGGCUAGCGUUGUUCGGAAUUACUGGGCGUAAAGCGCGCGUAGGCGGACUGAAAAGUUGGGGGUGAAAUCCCGGGGCUCAACCUCGGAACUGCCUUUGAUACUGGCUGUCUUGAGUACGGGAGAGGUGAGUGGAACUCCGAGUGUAGAGGUGAAAUUCGUAGAUAUUCGGAAGAACACCAGUGGCGAAGGCGACUCACUGGCCCGUUACUGACGCUGAGGCGCGAAAGCGUGGGGAGCAAACAGGAUUAGAAACCCUGGUAGUCC